rnacentral:rRNA from 1 species
CCUACGGGAGGCUGCAGUGGGGAAUAUUGGACAAUGGGGGGAACCCUGAUCCAGCCAUGCCGCGUGUGUGAAGAAGGCCCUCGGGUUGUAAAGCACUUUCAGUGAGGAAGAACGCCUGGUGGUUAAUACCCAUCAGGAAAGACAUCACUCACAGAAGAAGCACCGGCUAACUCCGUGCCAGCAGCCGCGGUAAUACGGAGGGUGCGAGCGUUAAUCGGAAUUACUGGGCGUAAAGCGCGCGUAGGUGGCUUGAUAAGCCGGUUGUGAAAGCCCCGGGCUCAACCUGGGAACGGCAUCCGGAACUGUCGAGCUAGAGUGCAGGAGAGGAAGGUAGAAUUCCCGGUGUAGCGGUGAAAUGCGUAGAGAUCGGGAGGAAUACCAGUGGCGAAGGCGGCCUUCUGGACUGACACUGACACUGAGGUGCGAAAGCGUGGGUAGCAAACAGGAUUAGAUACCCGAGUAGUC